UGGCUCAGAACGUACGCUGGCGGCAGGCCUAACACAUGCAAGUCGAGCACCGUAGCAAUACGGAGUUGCAGACGGGUGAGUAACACGUGGGAACGUGCCCUUUGGUUCGGAACAACCCAGGGAAACUUGGGCUAAUACCGGAUAAGCCCUUACGGGGAAAGAUUUAUCGCCUUAGGAUCGGCCCGCGUCUGAUUAGCUAGUUGGUGGGGUAAUUGCCUCCCAAGGCUGGGGAAAAUAGCUGGUUUGAGAGGAUGGCCAGCC
rnacentral:rRNA from 1 species